rnacentral:misc_RNA from 1 species
AACGCACCUUGCGCUCCUUGGUAUUCCGAGGAGCAUGCCUGUUUGAGUGUCAUUAAAUUCUCAACCCCUAACGGAUUUGCGUCUGGGAGGGGCUUGGACUUGGAGCGUGCUGGCCUUUGUUGGUCGGCUCCUCUUAAAUGCAUCAGCGGAAAGGUAUUUGCUUUCUGAGCAUCAGUGUGAUAAUAUGUUGCGCUGUUGUUGGAAUGGCAAUGUCCGCUUAGAAUGGUCUUCGGACAAACUUCAUUUGAAACUUGACCUCAAAUCAGGUAGGACUACCCGCUGAACUUAA